AUUGAACGCUGGCGGCAUGCCUUACACAUGCAAGUCGAACGGCAGCACGGGUGCUUGCACCUGGUGGCGAGUGGCGAACGGGUGAGUAAUACAUCGGAACGUACCUUAUCGUGGGGGAUAACGCAGCGAAAGCUGUGCUAAUACCGCAUACGACCUGAGGGUGAAAGCAGGGGAGCGCAAGACCUUGCGUUAUACGAGCGGCCGAUGUCAGAUUAGCUAGUUGGUGAGGUAAAGGCUCACCAAGGCGACGAUCUGUAGCGGGUCUGAGAGGAUGAUCCGCCACACUGGGACUGAGACACGGCCCAGAAUCCUACGGGAGGCAGCAGUGGGGAAUUUUGGACAAUGGGGGCAACCCUGAUCCAGCCAUGCCGCGUGAGUGAAGAAGGCCUUCGGGUUGUAAAGCUCUCUCGGCCGGGAAGAAAUCGCACAGGCUAAUACUCUGUGUGGAUGACGGUACCGGCAUAAGAAGCACCGGCUAACUACGUGCCAGCAGCCGCGGUAA
rnacentral:rRNA from 1 species